ensembl:lncRNA
GAAAAUCAAUUUCCUUAUGUUGACUUGCCAUCUUAUCUCACUGGCGUGAUAUGGACUUUGGCCACCCACAAUGCCACUUUAUAUAAUGUUCUCAUACCCUACAUUACUCAUCUCAUAUGUAUAUACUGUAUGCUAUACCAUCUACUGCAUCUUGCCAUCUUGAUGUAAUGUAUAACUAGCCACUUGAAACAAUGCCGCUUUAUAUGUUUUCAUACCCUACAUUACUCAUCUCAUAUGUACAGUAUGUACUGUACUCUAUACCAUCUAUUGCAUCUUGCCUAUGCCGUUCAGCCAUCACUCAUUUAUAUAUUUUUAUGUACAUAUUCGUAUUCAUUCAUUUACACUUGUGUGUGUAUAAGGUAGUUGUUGUGGAAUUGUUGAUUUAAUUCCCUCUUUGGCAGAGUGUGACACUGAUUUUGAAGUUACAGGCAGGGCUACCUCAUCACAAGACCAUGAACCCGACUCAUGUCCGCUACAUUCAUCUCCCAUGAGUGACAGUCCCCCAGUUGGGCUUCACUCUCACGGCGAGUUCUGAACCCUGGUCAUCAAAGGGAAAAACCAAUGUCUUGACCAAUAGACCAAGAGGAUAUUCCAUUUUGAAGACGCAGACAGCCAGGACGAACUAUUGGACAUUAGAGUGGCGGUAACUCACCAGAACUUCCAGCAUUACGACUUCCCUGGAGCGGAUCCUUGGUUUGCUCUCUCCAGAGCAAUUUAACUUAUUCCAGAGGCUGACCCAAAACAACGCCGGCGGAGGAGAGGUACCAAAGGCAGUCUUUUGGUCCGACUUAGGAUACCGCUCCCGAGUAUUUUACUCGCUAAUUGUCCAAUCUCUGGAUAAUAAAAUUGAUGAGCUCAAGGUGAGAGUUGCUUUUCAGAGAGACACCAGGGAUUGUAACAUACUCUGCUUCACGGAACAUGGCUCUCUCGAGAUAUACUGUCUGAAUCUGUAAAGCCAGUUGGGUUUUCAGUACAUCGCGCCGACAGGAACAAAUAUCUCUCCGGGAAGCAGAAGGGUGGAGGUAUAUGUUUUAUGAUGAACGACUAUUGGUGUAACUGUGAUAACAUACAGGAACUCAAAUCCUUCUGUUCACCCGACCUAGAAUGUCUCACAAUCAAAUGCCGAACGAACUAUCUCUCAAGACAAUUUUCGUCAAUAAUAGUCACAGCGUUCUAUCUCCCCCCAAGCGGAUACCACGAAGGCCCUCAACGAACUUCACUAGCCUUUAUGCAAACUGGAAACUACAUAUUCUGAGGUUGCAUUUAUUGUAGCUGGGGAUUUUAACAAAGCAAAUUUGAGGAAAAGGCUCCCGAAAUUCUAUCGACAUAUUGAUUGUUGUACUCGCGCUGCUAAAAGUCUCGACCAUUGUUAUACUACCUUCCAGAAUGCAUAUAAGGCCCUCCCCCGCCCUCCAUUUGGCAAAUCGGACCACAAUUCCAUCUUGCUCCUCCCCUCCUAUAGGCAGAAACUCCAACACGAAGCACCCAUGGUGAGGACUAUUCAACGCUGGUCUGGUCAAUCGGAAUCCAAGCUUCAAGAUUGUUUUGAUCACGUGGACUGGGAUAUGCUCAGAGUAGCUUCAGAAAAAAUAUAGACACAUAUACUGAUACGGUGAAUGAGUUUAUCAGGAAGUGCAUAGGAGAUGUUGUACCACUGUGACUAUUAAAACCAACCCCAACCAGAAACCGUAGAUAGAUGGGAGCAUUCGUGCAAAACUGAAAGCUCAAACCACCACAUUUAACCAGGGCAAAAAGACUGGGAAUAUGGAAGAAUACAAGCAGUAUAGUUAUUCCUUCCGCAAAUCAAUCAAGCAGGCUAGGGAAAAAGUUUAGUCCCAGUUCAACGGCUCAGACACGAGACGUAUAUGGCAGGGUCUACAGACAAUCACGGUUUAUAAAAGGAAAAUCAGCUGCAUUGUGGACACCUUCUUUGCUCGCUUUGAGGAUAAUACAGUGCCACCGACGCGGCCCACUAACUAAGACUGGGGGCUCUCCUUCUCCGUGGCCGAGGUGAGUAAGACAUUUAAGCGUAUUAACCUUCGCAAGGCUGCCGGCACAGAUGGUAUCCCUAGCCGCGUCUUCAGAGGAUGCGCAGACCCGCUGGCUGGUGUGUUUACAGAAAUAUUCAAUUUCUCCCUAUCCCAGUCUGUUGUACUCACAUGCUUCAAAAUGUCCCUGUACCUAAGAAAGAAAAUGUAAUUGAACUAAAUUACUAUUGCCCCGUAACACUCACCUCUGUCAUCAUGAAGUACUUUGAGAGACUAUUCAAGGAUCAUAUCACCUCCACUUUACCUGUCACCCUAGACCCACUUCAAUUUGCUUACCGCCCCAAAAGAUCCACAAGACGAUACAAUCGCCACCACACUGCACAUUGUCCUGUCCCAUCUGGACAAGAGGCAUACCCUUGUAAUAAUUCUGUUCAUUGACUAUAGCUCAGCAUUCAACACAAUAGUACCCUCCAAGCUUAUCAUCAAGCUCGAGGCCCUGGGUCUGAACCCCACCCUGUGCAACCGGGUCCUGGACUUUCUGAUAGUUCAGCCCCAGGUGGUGAAGGUAGGAAACAACACCUCCUCUUCACUGGUCCUCAACACUGGGGCCCCACAAGGGUGCUUGCUCAGCCCCCUCAUGUACUCCCUGUUCACCCAUGACUGCUUGGCCAAGCACACCUCCAACUCAAUCAUCAAGUUUGCAGAUGACACAACAGUAGUAGGCUUGAUUACCAACAAUGAUGAGACAGCCUACAGGGAGGUGAAGGCUCUAGGAGUGUGGUGCCAGGUAAAUAACCUCUCACUCAACACCAACAAAACUAAGGAGAUGAUCGUGGACUUCAUGAAACAGC